CCGCUCACUGUGUGCGUCUCUCUCUCUCUCGCUCUGUGCGCGCGCUCCCCGCUCUAUGUGCGCGCUCCCGGCUGCUCUCGGGGCUGUCUGUGUGCGCGCUGCCGGCUGCUGUCAGUGAGGCUCAGGUCGGGGACACGAUGCAGCCUCUCCCCUCCUCAGCCUGAAGGAUGGGGGGUCCGCGGCCAGUGGGGGUCCUACUGGGGCCCAUCCUCUACUGCUGGGUGUUACUAGCCCGGGGGGCCACUGCCAGACCAGGUAACCACAAGGGGGGACA